rnacentral:lncRNA from 10 species
UUUGACCUGUGGAUUUUACUGAUGGGAAAAAGGAGAAGAUGCUCAGAGUGGUGGUCAGCUGCUCUGCCCACAUGGGCCACCCAAGAGCACCCACAACCCGCCCUUACACCAUGUCCAUAGAAAGGGAGUGGUUUUUGGGUUCAGAGGAGAAAGAUAUCACUUCCUUCUGGGAGCAGGCGUCGGGUAGAGAAAGGGAUCAGGCAGGUCUCAGGUUACGCAACAAGAAAGCUCAAACCACCUCUGUCAAACUCCCUCUGAUUCUCCUUCAUCCUCCUGUUCCAGAGCUUGGUGACUAGGAUGCUCCUCUGUGUCCUGUGCAAUCUCACAGGCCUUGAGCUUGUUCCCCGGGAGUAACCUCUGCAGAAGCAGGAAAUGCCCUCUAGUCAGCUCUUCCGAAUGUGAGAAAUGAAAGCCUUACCAAAGGAAAGCUGAGGAAACGUGUUCUUCCUUCCUUCCUCCCAUCCUUCCUCCCUCUCUUCCUUCCCUCCAUCUUUUUUUUUUUUUUUUUUUUUUUUUUUUUUGAGACAGGGUCUUGCUCUGUCACCAGGGCUGGAAAACAGUGGCACCAUCAUGGCUAACUGCAGCCUUGACCUCCCAGGCUCAAAGAAUCCUCCAACCUCAGCCUCGCAAGUAGCUAGGACUAUAGGCAUGUGCCACCACACCUAGCUAAUUUUAAAAUAAAAUAUUGUACAGACACAAGGUCUCACUUUGUUACCCAGGCUGGUCUUGAACUUCUGAGCGCAAGGGAUCCUCCCACCUUAGCCUCCCAAGUAGCUGGGAUUACAAGUGUGCGCCACCAUGCCUGACUAAUCUUUGUAUUUUUAGUAGAGAUGGGGUUUUGCCAUGUUGCCCAGGCUGGUCUUGCAUUCCUGGCCCCAAGUGAUCCUCCUGCCUCGGCCUCCCAAAGUGCUGGGAUUACAGGCAUGAGCCACCACACCCAGCCUCCGUCCCUUCUUUCUUUAUCUUUUCUUCCUUCCAUUCUUCUUCUAUCUUUCCUUCUCUCCCACCCUUCCUCCUUUCCUCCCUUUCUUUUUUCCUUUCUUCCAUCUUUUAUUCCUUCCUUCCUCACUUUCUCCCUCUAUUGUUUACCAUUUAUUGAGCCGGUCAGCCCUUUGCCAAAGAUCACAGAAUGCAUAUAAAGAUAUGUUCUAGAUCAUGAUUUUGCAGUGCUUACAACCUUAGGGGGAAAAAAAAAACGGAUGAUGAGUUAAAAAUUAAACCAGCCGGUGAGGGGCCACUAGCUUCACUGAGGCAAAGAACCUCGAAGCAUGAUUCCAUUUCCACAGAUGGGGCCGCAGGAGAAUAUUCUGAGCCCAGCACAGAGGCCCAGAUACACUGUGUUCUUCUGGGAGUCCAAAUCCAGCCCUGAGAGCCCUGUGUAGGAGGGGGCUACGGCUCAGUGGAGGUUUCCUCUGCCUUUAAAAUAGUUCUGGGAUGUGAUUUUUUGCCUUGAGUUACUAAGCUGAAAAAACAAGCCAGAAAUACCUAUUUUGCUCAAAAUAGCCCAGUCCUCCCUUAUGCCAGGUUCUCGGAAGCUGCCUUGGGUGCCUCUGCCCCACACAAACUCCCAGCACCGCCCACCUUGGUGACUGAUGAUGUGGGCAGAGGGGAGCAGAAUGGGAAGCAGCAGCUUGGCUUCUCUGCCUGGCCUCUCUGUGCUCUUUUGUUUUGUGUUUUUGAGACAGAGCCUCACUCCGUCACCCAGGCUGGAGUACAGUGGUGUGAUCUCAACUCACUGCAACUUCUACCUCCCGGGUUCAAGUGAUUCUCAUGCCUGAGCCUCCCAAGUAGCUGGGAUUACAGGCACGCACCACCACGCCUGGCUAAUUUUUGUAUUUUUAGGAGAGACGGGGUUUCACCAUGUUGGCCAGGCUGGUCUUGAACUCCUCACCUCAAGUGAUCCGCCCGCCUCGGCCUCUCAAAGUGCUGGGAUUACAGGCGUGAGCCACCACUCCAGGCCAGUGACUUUUUGAAUUACAGUUUUUUCCAGAUCCUGAAGUCUCCCAUUCCUGCUCAGUCUCUACCCUCUACUCAUCAUAGUUCCUGUUUUUUGAGUACUAGAUACUUUGUAUAUAUUUUUUAACUUGUCUUUAAUUAUUGUCCUAUUUACAGAUGAAAAAACUGAAGAUCAGAGAGGUUGUAUAACUUGCCUAAGGUCAUAAAACUACUUAAUGAUGAAAAUUUAAAACCAAGUCUGUCUGACUCUGUAGCCAUGGUUCUCACUGUCUGGUCCCUGGACCAGCUGUAUCAGCACCUCCUGGGAACUCAUCAGAGACCUAAUGAGUCAGAAAUUUGGGGGGUCAGGUGGAGCCAUCUGUGUCCUGGCAAGCCUCAAGGUGAUUCUACUGGACACUCCCAACCAAGAACCACUGUUCCAGCACGUUCCCUUCAUCUCCACGCCAUGCUGCGUCUCCAACUUCCUGCUCUCCAAAGGCAAAACUCACCAUGAGGGAAUCAUCCAGAAAUAAAGUUGAUUUUCACUUCUCCCUGCAGAUGCUCCCAGGGAGUUAAAGGUGACUCUUCACUCCAGACUCUAAAUUUGACCCCCUUUCAGGCGGCCACCCCAGGUUCAUUAUCACACCAAUCAGCCAACUGUUUUGAGUAGAAAUCUCCUUUCCCACCCUGUAAGGAAUUCCAGGACACCGUCUAUGAAGAGGGAAAUCAUAACUUGGCUAUUUGUUCAGGACACCCCUACCCUCUUCCAGACCAGCAGCUCAUUGAGACACCUGCCCUCGAGAUACCACUUGACUACUGCCGCCAGUCGACAAUUAUUGAUCAAGUACUGUGUCAGGUCCUCUGCUAGGCCGUUUGAGACAUGUUAUCUCAAUUAAUCCUUACAACAACCCAAGAGGUAGACAUGAUUAUUAGCCCAUUUCAAAAACAAGAAAACUGAGGCACAGAUUAUUUGCCUAACUUCACUAGCUAAUAAAUUACUGAGAUGAGACUUAAACUCAGUUUGUCUCAAGAACCCCAUGGUCUUAUCCAGUAUGCCCUAUUGCCUGUUACGGGCCUUUGUCAAACAAGUCUUCUCUCUUGGUGCACUCCAGGCCAACUUUCUGUGUUCCAGCUUGAGAGUCCUCUUUGCAGCCAUGUGAAUCCAGUGUCUUCCUCUCGUUAAUCCUCUAGGACACCUCUGCCCAGCUUUCUUCCAUCCCCCCGCACCUGGCCAUUUCCCUCUGGAGCUGUUUCCUACUAGCUGGGCUCUCACCUCCCAGACACUUUUCCUUCCUUUAGACCAGCUUCAUCUCCUCUAUGUGCUGCUCAGCAUGGAAUAAAUUCUAUCUUUUUCCAAUUCCCAAUUUCUAAGGCAGGUUUUUUUUUUUUUUUAAUCUUACCAUCUCUGCUUUGACCAGACACUUGGUACAACUUCAAACAUUGUCGCCUGUGGUUUGGCUGCCUAACAAGGAGCUCUUGGCCCGCUUCGAAGCCAGCCUUCUUGAAGCCUGCCCUCACAUUUAGCGCCCUUAAUAUAGACUCUGUCUACCACAGAUCAGCGUGUACUGAGAAGAUAGAUCGGAAUCAGGGAGGAGGCUAUUUCAUUGCCUGGUGGUGGAACCAAUACUCAGUCUGGUGAUAUAAACUGAAAAAUGCAAAAGUGGGGAAGGCAAGGUGAAGAGCGAAGGCAGCUUCUCAGACUUGGCUCGUGAGUUCAUAGUAAGGCAUCUCCAACAAGAGUCUUGCAGCGGCCUCCUGGAGGGUCCCUUCCAUCCACAGUGAUUGGGGCACAGGCUGGCUCAACCAUAAAGGCAAACAGGAAACCAUUUGCUGGUUCGUUAUAAAGGAUAUUACAGAGGAUACAGAUGAAGAGAUGCACAGGGAGAAGUAUGGGAAGAGGCACGGAGCUUCCAUGCCCUCCCCAGCAUGCCACCCUCCAGCAACCUCCAUGUGUUCAGCUAUCCAGAACUCUCCAAACCAG